rnacentral:piRNA from 1 species
UAGUAACUUAAUCCCUGAGAUAAAGCUC